UUGUUGUCUCACUUUCUAGUAGAUGUCCCUUUUCUCAUAAUUUGGGAGGCAUCUUCUGCUGGCACUAAUUGGCUGAGAUGUGGGACAGGUUGCAUUUGAACAAUGAACAAUGAUGAUGCUAAAAGUCUGUAAUCAACACGAGCUUCAGCUACUCUCAUUACUAGCUCUUGAAGGGAUUCUUCAGACUCAGCAAGAACAAGACGAUCAUCAGAUUACAGCAUCUGCUUCCUCCAAUUUCAGAUUUCCCCCUGUAGCCAACAACAAGGAUGCACAUUUGCAUUUGAGUGUGCAGACUGAAAGGACACACGGCAGGCAGUACAGCAGGGGUACUGUCUCUUACACGGGCUUCUUGGGAAUCAAACCAGGACCUGUCUAUGGUCUAGCCUGGUCUGCAUACCUGAAAGAAAGGGAGGUGAUACCUGAGCCAUAUUACUCACCAGACAAGUCUUGAGAGAAGCCUGUCCACUACUGACUCCUACAGUGGAAAAGAAGACUUAGGGCAGAUGAGGAAACAGAGGUCCAAAAAGAUUAAAUGACUUACACAAGAUCAAAUACACAAUAAAUACUAGAAGCUCUGACUCA
rnacentral:lncRNA from 1 species